rnacentral:ncRNA from 1 species
CAGAUAGAGGCGCGGCCGUCAUCAGUAGUUCCGUCCAGCCGACCAUACGGCGCCGAGGACGGGAACGAAAGGGAUCGCCGCCGAAAUAUCCCCCGCUAUGGUAAAGGGGAUGUUGGGCACAGACAGAAGAUGUCUGUGACUGUCACAGAAAUGUGGAGAGCUAUCGUU